rnacentral:sRNA from 1 species
UACGACUGUUGCCACCGCAGUCGCGGCCA